AUCGGAAUGACUGGGCGUAAAGCGUGCGUCAGGCGGUUAUGUAAGUACAGAUGUGAAAUCCCCGGGCUCAACCUGGGAAUUGCAUUUGUUACUGUAUGGCUAGAGUACGGCAGAGGGUUGAUGGAANUCCGCGUGUAGCAGUGAAAUGCGUAGAUAUGCGGANGAACACCGCAUGGCGANNGCAGAUCUCCCUGGGACCAGUACNGACGCCUCAUGNACGAAAGCGUGGGGAGCAAACAGGAUUAGAAUACCCUGGUAGUCCACGCCCUAAACGAUGUCAACUGGUUGUUCGGUC
rnacentral:rRNA from 1 species